GACGGGGUAAUUAAAGCCAUUUCUUCAACAUCAUGUUCGCUCAUGAAUAACACGCACAGUCGCAAGCAUGAAAAUGAAAACUGCAAGCAGUAGACACCAGCAUACCCGAGAGAGGAACGCGCAGUCAAAGGAGCAAAGGUCCUCCGUCCUAACCACGACAAGAACAGUGCGUUUCCCCGAAGGUUCCAGCACACUGAACAUUUCCCGCGGAACAGAACGCAUGUUGAAACGCUCCAGGCCCCACGCCGCAACCCCCACGGGGGCGACGGCAAAAAGACCAGGAGCAACACUGACUUCAAUCGCUUCCCUUUCAGCAGUUUCAGGUACUAUUUUACUCUCUUUUCAAAAGUCUUUUCAUCUUUCCCUCACGGUACUUGUUCGCUAUCGGUCUCUCGCCAGUAUUUAGCUUUAGAUGGAAUUUACCACCCAAUUCAAGCUGCAAUCCCAAGCAACCCGACUCUGCAAGAGCGCAUCGUGCGACCGCGAACCGCCACGGCACAGGAUUCUCACCUUCUCCGAUACCCCGUUCCAGGGGAUUUGAGCGGCGGACGCGGCCGAUGGCGCCUUUCUAGA
rnacentral:rRNA from 1 species